rnacentral:rRNA from 1 species
AGUGAACGCUGGCGGUAGGCCUAACACAUGCAAGUCGAACGGCAGCACAGUAAGAGCUUGCUCUUACGGGUGGCGAGUGGCGGACGGGUGAGGAAUACAUCGGAAUCUACUUUUUCGUGGGGGAUAACGUAGGGAAACUUACGCUAAUACCGCAUACGACCUACGGGUGAAAGCAGGGGAUCUUCGGACCUUGCGCGAUUGAAUGAGCCGAUGUCGGAUUAGCUAGUUGGCGGGGUAAAGGCCCACCAAGGCGACGAUCCGUAGCUGGUCUGAGAGGAUGAUCAGCCAAACAGGAACUGAAAAACGGUCCAGACUCCUACGGGAGGCAGCAGUGGGGAAUUUUGGAAAAGGGGCGCAAGCCUGAUCCAGCCAUCCCGGGGGGGUGAAGAAGGCCUUCGGGUUGUAAAGCCCUUUUUUUGGGAAAGAAAAGCAGCAGGUUAAUACCCCGCUGUUCUGACGGUACCCAAAGAAUAAGCACCGGCUAACUUCGU